GACGAACGCUGGCGGCGUGCCUAAUACAUGCAAGUCGAACGAGAGCGACCGGUGCUUGCACUGGUCAAUCUAGUGGCGAACGGGUGAGUAACACGUGGGUAACCUGCCCAUCAGAGGGGGAUAACAUCCGGAAACGGAUGCUAAAACCGCAUAGGUCUUCUAGCCGCAUGGCUUGAAGAGGAAAAGAGGCGCAAGCUUCUGCUGAUGGAUGGACCCGCGGUGCAUUAGCUAGUUGGUGAGGUAACGGCUCACCAAGGCCGUGAUGCAUAGCCGGCCUGAGAGGGUGAUCGGCCACAUUGGGACUGAGACACGGCCCAAACUCCUACGGGAGGCAGCAGUAGGGAAUCUUCCGCAAAGGACGCAAGUCUGACGGAGCAACGCCGCGUGAGUGAAGAAGGUUUUCGGAUCGUAAAACUCUGUUGUUAGAGAAGAACAAGUGCUAGAGUAACUGUUAGCGCCUUGACGGUAUCUAACCAGAAAGCCACGGCUAACUACGUG
rnacentral:rRNA from 1 species